rnacentral:rRNA from 1 species
GUACACUCCUACGGGAGGCAGCAGUGGGGAAUAUUGGACAAUGGGCGCAAGCCUGAUCCAGCCAUGCCGCGUGAGUGAUGAAGGCCCUAGGGUUGUAAAGCUCUUUCACCGGUGAAGAUAAUGACGGUAACCGGAGAAGAAGCCCCGACUAACUUCGUGCCAGCAGCCGCGGUAAUACGAAGGGGGCUAGCGUUGUUCGGAUUUACUGGGCGUAAAGCGCACGUAGGCGGACUAUUAAGUCAGGGGUGAAAUCCCGGGGCUCAACCCCGGAACUGCCUUUGAUACUGGUAGUCUUGAGUUCGAGAGAGGUGAGUGGAAUUCCGAGUGUAGAGGUGAAAUUCGUAGAUAUUCGGAGGAACACCAGUGGCGAAGGCGGCUCACUGGCUCGAUACUGACGCUGAGGUGCGAAAGCGUGGGGAGCAAACAGGAUUAGAUACCCGUGUAGUCCCA